GACGGGGGAGGCAAGCGUUGUCCGGAAUCAUUGGGCGUAAAGAGCGUGUAGGCGGCUUGGUAAGUCCGCUGUGAAAGUCCAGGGCUCAACCCUGGAAUGCCGGUGGAAACUGUCAAGCUUGAGUCCGGAAGAGGCGAGUGGAAUUCCUGGUGUAGCGGUGAAAUGCGCAGAUAUCAGGAGGAACACCAAUGGCGAAGGCAGCUCGCUGGGACGGUACUGACGCUGAGACGCGAAAGCGUGGGGAGCAAACAGG
rnacentral:rRNA from 1 species